GGAUGUGCGGGUGAUCUGCCUGUGACAUCUCUCACCCCAUUGGUCACCAGGGUAGAUUCAGUUGAUUUGGCUGGCUAGGCAUUUGUCCCCUUACCCCCUCACUGGGCAUGUGCAUCCCUCCUGAAGCCUCAUACUCCAACCUUCCCUGAUAGAAGGAGGACUGUUCUUUGGUCAAGGGUGUACUAUAGCUGCCCUCCCUUGCUAGAACCUCCAAUCAAGCUCUAUUUCUCUCUUCAGUUCUGAGUUUGCUUAAAUUUUUUCAACGG
rnacentral:sRNA from 1 species